AAACUUAAAUGAAUUGACGGGGACCCGCACAAGCGGUGGAUGAUGUGGUUUAAUUCGAUGCAACGCGAAAACCUUACCCACCUUUGACAUGUAUGGAAGAUCGCAGAGACGCGAUUGUGCUCGAAAGAGAGCCAUAACACAGGUGCUGCAUGGCUGUCGUCAGCUCGUGUCGUGAGAUGUUGGGUUAAGUCCCGCAACGAGCGCAACCCUUGUCAUUAGUUGCUACAUUUAGUUGGGCACUCUAAUGAGACUGCCGGUGACAAACCGGAGGAAGGUGGGGAUGACGUCAAGUCCUCAUGGCCCUUAUAGGUGGGGCUACACACGUCAUACAAUGGCUGGUACAAAGGGUUGCCAACCCGCGAGGGGGAGCCAAUCCCAUAAAGCCAGUCGUAGUCCGGAUCGCAGUCUGCAACUCGACUGCGUGAAGUCGGAAUCGCUAGUAAUCGUGGAUCAGAAUGUCACGGUGAAUACGUUCCCGGGUCUUGUACACACCGCCCGUCACACCAUGGGAGCGGGUUCUGCCAGAAGUAGGUAGCCUAACCGUAAGGAGGGCGCUUACCACGGCAGGGUUCGUGACUGGGGUGAAGUCGUAACAAGGUAGCCGUAUCGGAAGGUGCGGCUGGAUCACCUCCUUUAUG
rnacentral:rRNA from 1 species